rnacentral:rRNA from 1 species
GACGAACGCUGGCGGCGUGCUUAACACAUGCAAGUCGAGCGGUAAGGCCCUUUGGGGUACACGAGCGGCGAACGGGUGAGUAACACGUGAGUAAUCUGCCUUUGGCUUGGGAAUAACUUCGGGAAAUCGGGGCUAAUGCCUGGUGUUUACUGUCUGCUGCAUGGUGGGUGGUGGAAAGAUUUUUUGGCCAGGGAUGAGCUCGCGGUCUAUCAGCUUGUUGGUGGGGUAAUGGCUACCAAGGCUUUGACGGGUAGCCGGCCUGAGAGGGUGUUCGGCCACACUGGGACUGAGACACGGCCCAGACUCCUACGGGAGGCAGCAGUGGGGAAUAUUGCGCAAUGGGCGUAAGCCUGACGCAGCGACGCCGCGUGGGGA